rnacentral:rRNA from 1 species
UACGUAGGGGGCUAGCGUUGUCCGGAAUCAUUAGGCGUAAAGCGCGUGUAGGCGGCUUGGUAAGUCCGCUCUGAAAGCCCGAGGCUCAACCUCGGGAGGCGGGUGGAUACUGCCGGGCUCGAGUCCGGAAGAGGCGAGUGGAAUUCCCGGUGUAGCGGUGAAAUGCGCAGAUAUCGGGAGGAACACCAAUGGCGAAGGCAGCUCGCUGGGACGGAACUGACGCUGAGGAGCGAAAGCGUGGGGAGCAAACAGG